UACGUAGGGAGCAAGCGUUGUCCGGAAUCAUUGGGCGUAAAGCGCGCGUAGGCGGCCCUGUAAGUCCGUUGUGAAAGUCAAAGGCUCAACCUUUGAAAGCCGAUGGAUACUGCAGGGCUAGAGUCCGGAAGAGGCGAGUAGAAUUCCUGGUGUAGCGGUGGAAUGCGCAGAUAUCAGGAGGAAUACCCAUAGCGAAGGCAGCUCGCUGGGACGUUACUGACGCUGAGGCGCGAAAGCGUGGGGAGCGAACAGG
rnacentral:rRNA from 1 species